AUAUCCUUAGCUCAAUGGUAGAGCGACUAUCUCCAAAGUAGUGGGUUGUGGGUUCAAGUCCUACAGGAUGUG
rnacentral:tRNA from 1 species